rnacentral:rRNA from 1 species
CCAGACUCCUACGGGAGGCAGCAGUGGGGAAUAUUGCACAAUGGGGGAAACCCUGAUGCAGCGACGCCGCGUGAGGGAAGAAGGUUUUCGGAUUGUAAACCUCUGUCUUUGGUGACGAAAGAUGACGGUAGCCAAAGAGGAAGCUACGGCUAACUACGUGCCAGCAGCCGCGGUAAUACGUAGGGGGCAAGCGUUAUCCGGAUUUACUGGGUGUAAAGGGAGCGCAGGCGGCGUGGCAAGUCAGAUGUGAAAACCCGGGGCCCAACCCCGGGAGUGCAUUUGAAACUGCCAUGCUGGAGUGCCGGAGAGGUAAGCGGAAUUCCUAGUGUAGCGGUGAAAUGCGUAGAUAUUAGGAGGAACACCAGUGGCGGAGGCGGCUUACUGGACGGUAACUGACGCUGAGGCUCGAAAGCGUGGGGAGCAAACAGGAUUAGAUACCCGAGUA